AUUGAACGCUGGCGGCAGGCAUAACACAUGCAAGUCGAGCGAGCGGCGGACGGGUGAGUAAUGUAUGGGGACUGCCCGAUAGAGGGGGAUAACUACUGGAAACGGUGGCUAAUACCGCAUACUAUCGGAUAACCCAUAUGGGAUUAGCGAGUAGGUGGGGUAAAGGCUCACCUAGGCGACGAUCUCUAGCUGGUCUGAGAGGAUGAUCAGCCACACUGGGACUGAGACACGGCCCAGACUCCUACGGAGGCAGCAGUAGGGAAUAUUCGACAAUGGGCGCAAGCCUGAUGCAUCCAUGCCGCGUGUGUGAAGAAGGUCUUAGGGUUGUAAAGUUCUUUCAUCAGAGAGGCGUUACCCGCAGAAGAAGCACCGGCUAACUCCGUGCCAGCAGCCGCGGUAAUUC
rnacentral:rRNA from 1 species